rnacentral:rRNA from 1 species
UACGUAGGGCGCAAGCGUUAUCCGGAAUUAUUGGGCGUAAAGGGCGCGUAGGCGGCUCUGCACGUUCGUUGUGAAAUCGCCCGGCUCAACUGGGCGGGGUCAGCGGAUACGGCAGAGCUUGAGCAAGCUAGGGGGCAAUGGAAUUCCCGGUGUAGUGGUGGAAUGCGUAGAUAUCGGGAGGAACACCAGUGGCGAAGGCGGUUGCCUGGGGCUUUGCUGACGCUGAUGCGCGAAAGCGUGGGGAGCGAUCCGG